UACAGAGGUGGCAAGCGUUGUUCGGAAUUACUGGGCGUAAAGGGCGCGUAGGCGGCCUUCUAAGUCAGACGUGAAAUCCCCCGGCUUAACCUGGGAACUGCGUCUGAUACUGGGAGGCUAGAGUAUGGGAGAGGGAUGUAGAAUUCCAGGUGUAGCGGUGAAAUGCGUAGAUAUCUGGAGGAAUACCGGUGGCGAAGGCGGCAUCCUGGACCAUUACUGACGCUGAGGCGCGAAAGCUAGGGGAGCAACGGGG
rnacentral:rRNA from 1 species